rnacentral:lncRNA from 13 species
UAUGGUUGAGUCUCUUCUUCCUCCAGGCUUCAAUCUUCCCAUCUAUAAAAUGAGUGGCUAAAACUGGAGCAGGGCAUACAAGCUCAAACAAGGAUGCCCACCAGGCAGUUGCAGAAGUCAUGAAUGGUGUUUGCCAAAUGGCCGCAGCUCGCCCCCUUCUGGACACGUGGUAGGAUCGGACUUCCUGGGCCCUAUGAUUGGGCGGGGCAUGUUACUGGUUCUGGCCAACUGAGUUGUCAGCAGAAGUGCCCCGUGCCACUUCUGCGCUGGGGCAAUUAAUUGCUGUUGGGAAACCCUCAGAGCUCCUUUUCCCUCCACCACGUUUAAGAUGCUGCUCUGAUAGUCUGGGUCCCAGAGUGAGGAGACUCGAAACUGGCCUUGGUGCUCCAAGCUUCAGUGGACUACAAUGGACACGUAGCAUGAGUGAGAAAAAAACCUUUGCUUUUUUCUCUUUUCUUUUUCUUUUCUUUCUUUUUUUUUUUUUUUUUUUUUUGUGAUAGGGUCUUGCUCUGUUCAUGCUGGAAUGCAGUGGCAAGGUAUAGCUCACUGCAGCCUCAAAUUCCUGGGCUCAAGUGAUCCUUCCUCCUUAGACUCCUGAGUAGCUGGGACUACAGGUGGAAAGGUGUUCCUGUACCCUUGGCCCCUCUCAAAUAUCUGGCUACUUGCUUCCCGCCCUCCCGGUGCAAAUAACGAUAAGCACACACAUGAGAGCUUGCUGCAGGGAUCUGUGCGCUUUUCCAGAUCGAAAAACCAUGGUUGUGAGAGGUUAGGAGACUUACCCAGGAUCACAGAGCAGCGUUGGACAGCAUUGACAGAGCAGUGUCAACAAACCUGGGCCAUUGGCCUCUGGGCUCCUUCCACCUGUGUGCCUGCACCCCACUGUGAUGUCUCAGGUAAUUUGCACCAAUAUUUCCUUCCAGAGGGGCUCAGGGCAGCACCAGGCAGGCAGGUUGAGUCUUGGUUGAAGUAUCUAUUAGGGAGUGAUGGAGGUGAGUAG